ACUCAAAGGAAUUGACGGGGGCCCGCACAAGCGGUGGAGCAUGUGGUUUAAUUCGACGCAACGCGAAGAACCUUACCUACCCUUGACAUCCUAGGAAUCUUGCAGAGAUGCAGGAGUGCCGAAAGGAACCUAGAGACAGGUGCUGCAUGGCUGUCGUCAGCUCGUGUUGUGAGAUGUUGGGUUAAGUCCCGUAACGAGCGCAACCCCUAUCCUUAGUUGCCAACACGUAAUGGUGGGGACUCUAAGGAGACUGCUGGUGAUGAACCGGAGGAAGGUGGGGACGACGUCAAGUCAUCAUGGCCUUUAUGGGUAGGGCUACACACGUGCUACAAUGGGACGUACAGAGGGAAGCGAACCCGCGAGGGGGAGCGAAUCCUUAAAAGCGUCUCGUAGUCCGGAUUGAAGUCUGCAACUCGACUUCAUGAAGUUGGAAUCGCUAGUAAUCGCGAAUCAGAAUGUCGCGGUGAAUACGUUCCCGGGCCUUGUACACACCGCCCGU
rnacentral:rRNA from 1 species